GAUGAACGCUGACAGAAUGCUUAACACAUGCAAGUCAACUUGAACUUCGGUUUGGGUGGCGGACGGGUGAGUAACGCGUAAAGAACUUGCCUCACAGCUAGGGACAACAUUUGGAAACGAAUGCUAAUACCUGAUAUUAUGAUUAUAUGGCAUCGUAUAAUUAUGAAAGCUAUAUGCGCUGUGAGAGAGCUUUGCGUCCCAUUAGCUAGUUGGAGAGGUAACAGCUCACCGAGGCGAUGAUGGGUAGCCGGCCUGAGAGGGUGAUCGGCCACAAGGGGACUGAGACACGGCCCUUACUCCUACGGGAGGCAGCAGUGGGGAAUAUUGGACAAUGGACCGAGAGUCUGAUCCAGAAAUUCUGUGUGCACGAUGAAGUUUUUCGGAAUGUAAAGUGCUUUCAGUUGGGAAGAAAAAAAUGACGGUACCAACAGAAGAAGUGACGGCUAAAUACGUG
rnacentral:rRNA from 1 species